UACGGGAGGCAGCAGUGAGGAAUAUUGGUCAAUGGGCGCGAGCCUGAACCAGCCAAGUAGCGUGCAGGAUGACUGCCCUAUGGGUUGUAAACUGCUUUUAUCAGGGAAUAAAGUGAGGCACGUGUGCCUUUUUGUAUGUACCUGAUGAAUAAGGACCGGCUAAUUCCGUGCCAGCAGCCGCGGUAAU
rnacentral:rRNA from 1 species